UUUUUUUUUUUCUCUUUUUUUUUAAUUUUUAUUUAUUUAUUUAUUUAUGAUAGUCACAGAGAGAGAGAGAGAGAGAGAGAGGCAGAGACACAGGCAGAGGGAGAAGCAGGCUCCAUGCACCGGGAGCCCGAUGUGGGAUUCGAUCCCGGGUCUCCAGGAUCGCGCCCUGGGCCAAAGGCAGGCGCCAAACCGCUGCGCCACCCAGGGAUCCCUCACAAUGCUUUUUAAAAAGAUUUUGUUUAUUUAUUCAUGAGAGACACAGAGAGAGACAGAGACACAGGCAGAGGGAGAAGCAGACUCCCCGCAGGGAGCCCGAUGCGGGACUCAAUCCCACGUCUCUGGGAUCACACCCUGGGCUGAAGGCAGCGCUAAACCACUGAGCCUCCCAGGCUUCCCUGCUCACAAUGCUUUAUAUUUCAUAAGUAAUAGAGAUUUAAGGGAACAUCAUUUUUACCAUAAAUACAAUACAUACUCAUCUUAGAAAAUGUUGAACAUUGAGUCAAGUGCAGAUGUUUAAUAUCAAUACCCAGCCAUCCCAUCAUCACUGACAUCCACAUUGUGCAUACUUAGUGGCUAAACUCUAAAGAAUAGAGUAAGUUAAUGCAAAGUAGUUACUGUACACUGGAGAAAGUAAACACCAUCUUAGUCCUGUGAUGGGAGUCAAAAUCCCUAGUGAUUCAGUGAUGUCAUAUAGGUAUUAUGUCCUGCCAGUUAUGAGGGAGGUGAAGAGAAGGGGACAUUAGACAUUAACUCUGUGGUAUUCUUUCUCAAAACCCAUAAUCACAGUUGAAUCAGGAGAAAAAUAACAGAGUAUGCCUGCACUGCUCAACAUUGUCAUGUCAUGUAAACAGUCUGUAAAUUCCUCAAAUGUGUCAACAGAGAGUUAUCAUAGGACCUAGCAAUUGCACUCCUAGGUACACAGCCAGGACAAAUGAAAACAUAUGUCUUCAUAAAAACUUGGACAUGAUGCAUGUAGCAUCAUUAUUCAUAACAGUCCAAAGUGGAAACAACUCAAAUGACCACCAAUUAAUGAAUGGAAUAAAAAUAUGGUAUGUUAUUUGGCCAUAAAAAGGAAUGAAGUACAGACACAUGUUACAAUAUGAAUGAAACUUGAAAAUAUUAAGGCAAGUGAAAAAAGUCAAAUAUGCAAAACCAUAUAUGAUUCCAUUUAUAUGAAGCAUCCAGAGAGAGCCCAUCAAUAUGCUGUACCCAAGGAAUCUCCCCUUUCCAUCCUGACUUCCAGAAAACUCUGUAUGGUGGGUUUGGGUCACAUCUCCUCUCUCCCUUUUUACUUCCCGUGAGUGAAUAUUCAAGCUACAAUUUAGUUUUUUGUUAAAAGGUGGCACCAAUAUACUACCAUCAUCAAACUGUCUGCAAAGAGAAAACAAAACAAAACAAAACAAGCAAACAAAAAACCAAUAAUCUCCCAAAACCAAUAACCUGAGCCUCUACAGAAUUAUUCAAAUUCUAUCUGGGGAAAAAAAUGAUAGAUGUAAAAGAAGACCGUGAGACCACAUAGUCCAGGGUCUGCAGAUAAAAAAAAAAAAAAACUGGUGGCAGUGAGCUCCUUGGCAGUCAAUGGCUGGUGUGCAAAGGGCAAUCAAUGCAGGGCAGAAUAGGGGGCAGGGAACUGAAAGAAGAUGGAACACAAAGCAGGGUCCAAGCAGCUAUACUGUGUGUCAUGGACAGGGGAGGAUAGACAGGGUGUGAGAAAGUCUAGGUAUCCUAUACAAAGUGGGGUGAUAAAGGGUGAACUCUCUAUUCUCUGGUUCGGACCCUCUGUUCAGGCCACAAUGUAUAGCAGCUGACAGUGAUGAGGGAAGAGAUAAAUUAGUGAACACAAUGUAAUUUGGGGUCAACUGAAAAUGGGUCUGCUUUAAUAUCCAUAUGAAUUUUCCAAGCAGAAUUGGUAAGAGUGAAAAAUGCACUCUGCAAAAUGUACUCUUUUUCACAAAAAAAAAGCCAACAAAAAAUAGAGAUAAAUAUGAUGUCACCUGGUGGUUAGAUACAGGAUCACAGCUCUAAGAGUCUCAGACCAGGGGGCCAUACAGGGAAGAAGAAUGGGGUUGGGAGCUUGACUUCAUGGGAUUAGUCAGCAUUCUGGAUUUUUACUUAGCUAGAAAAAGUCCUCAGUAUCCAUAACUUCUAGGAGAUUUAAAAAAAAAACACCCAUUUUCUGGGAUAUUUAAACCUGAGAUUGGAGGUCCAGCUCUGGUCUGAACAGAGAGUAAAGCUACAACUGUGAGCAUGUAUUUGAGGUUGUAGAGCUGGAGGGGACAUACAUAAACACACACACACACACACACACACAGUAUCAAUUCAUACUUUUUAGAGAAAACGGUAUGGUUUACAUUAUAGUCAAUUGUUACUCGUUCUUGAUUAUAGCAUUUGACAGAUAAAUUGCAUUCAUAUCUUGGUACAUAAAUGGCACCGUGCCACUUCCUUGGGACAGUUGAUUCAGAUGGAAUUAUUCCUGGGCAACCCUUAACUGUGUGUCUGCCAGCAACUGCCUUCUCUCCAUUCUUACAUACAUAUGUAAAGUGUCCCUUAUCCAGAAUAACUAGGAAAUUGGUCAUAUAAUUCAACUGAGUAUCCAUAUACAGUGCAGCACAAUGUUUUGCCAAUGGAUUUGAUAUAUUUCAAACUCCAGAUCAAGGUCUUGAAUAUUUAAUCUGUCUUUGGUGAUCCCAUUUUAUGCCUGCAGAAUGACAUACAGGGCAAAUGUAUCAAAACAUUAUCCAAAUAAACUAUUUUCAGAGUGAAUACUCAGAGCCAAGACAGCCUUACCAAACCUUCUAUACCUCUUAGUACUGUCCAGCAAUAACCAGUGACUCUGAGAAUUGGUGGAUUCUAAACUGCCUUUUGCAGCCCAGGGUCCAUGACUAUUAGUAUUUUAGUUGCACAAAAAAAGAUGCUUCAGAGCUGUUUUAAUUCAAACGUGUUAGUUGGGCUGGGCCCUGGGUUGAAGGAGCCUGUGACUAAACUUCCCCUUGAAUCCCACUGGAAGCAUCUCCCCUCUGGAAGCUGUGGGCUGAGUGCUGCAAGACCUUAUGCAGCCUCACCCUUUUCCUCCCCAGUGGGUCUCUGGAUAACUGGGAGGUUAAACCCAUGAGCCUGUUUUCAGUUCAAGGGGCUUUAAUUUGGAGAGAAGAGAAGGAAGCAUGUCAUGAGAAUACUUUUUCUCAUGAUUUUCACUAAACCUUAGGGAGUAGAGACAACUCAGAACUGUGGAAAGUAGGGUUUAUUUGAGAUACAUACUUGUCCUUCCUUAGACAUCUGCACUGUCCCUG
rnacentral:lncRNA from 1 species